CACGUAGGGGCCAAGCGUUGUCCGGAUUUAUUGGGCGUAAAGAGCUCGUAGGCGGUUGGGUAAGUCGGGUGUGAAAACUCCGGGCUCAACUCGGAGACGCCACCCGAUACUGCUCUGACUUGAGUCCGGUAGGGGAGGUGGGGAAUUCCUGGUGUAGCGGUGAAAUGCGCAGAUAUCAGGAGGAACACCGGUGGCGAAGGCGGCCAACUGGACGAAUACUGACGCUGAGACUCGAAAGCGUGGGGAGCAAACAGG
rnacentral:rRNA from 1 species